UACGUAGGGUGCAAGCGUUAAUCGGAAUUACUGGGCGUAAAGCGUGCGCAGGCGGUUUACUAAGACAGGUGUGAAAUCCCCGGGCUUAACCUGGGAAUGGCGCUUGUGACUGGUAGGCUAGAGUACGUCAGAGGGGGGUGGAAUGCCGCGUGUAGCAGUGAAAUGCGUAGAGAUGCGGCGGAACACCGAUGGCGAAGGCAGCCCCCUGGGCUGAGAUUGACGCUCAGGCACGAAAGCGUGGGGAGCAAACAGG
rnacentral:rRNA from 1 species